rnacentral:rRNA from 1 species
GAUGAACGCUGGCGGCGUGCCUAAUACAUGCCAGUCGAGCGAACGGACGAGAAGCUUGCUUCUCUGAUGUUAGCGGCGGACGGGUGAGUAACACGUGGAUAACCUACCUAUAAGACUGGGAUAACUUCGGGAAACCGGAGCUAAUACCGGAUAAUAUUUUGAACCGCAUGGUUCAAAAGUGAAAGACGGUCUUGCUGUCACUUAUAGAUGGAUCCGCGCUGCAUUAGCUAGUUGGUAAGGUAACGGCUUACCAAGGCAACGAUGCAUAGCCGACCUGAGAGGGGGGGAGGCAAACGUGGAAAUGCGACACGGUGGAGCGUAAGAAGGGAGGAAGAAGUGGGGGAGGGUAAGGAAUGGGGGAAAGUCGGAAGGAUCAAUGAUGAGGGAGUGAGGAAGGUGUUAGGAGCGGAAAACUCUGUGAGGAGGGAAGAAAAGAGGUGUAAGGAACUGUGCAAACCUUGACGGGACAUAAUAAGAAAGCGACGGCUAACGUAGUG